rnacentral:lncRNA from 1 species
UUUUUGGUUUUUUUCGGUUUUCGGUUUUUUGAACCCACCCCUAAUUUUCUCAUCAAGUUUUUGGCGGCGUUGCCGGGGAUUAGCAACUUUGCUAAUCCCUUGUUAUUUCUUUUUGUUUAUUUUCGUGUCUUUUGUUUUUAGUUACUGACUUUGUUUCUGUUUGUGUUUUUUUUUUUUUUGGUUUUACUUUUGAUAUUUGAUUUAGUUUUGUUUCCUUGAUUUCGGGUACUAGAGAAGUAAGACAUGGAUUUUGUUACCAUUCAAGCUCAAUUGGCAGAACUUACUUCUCAAUUGUCACAAUAUGCCGAAAGGAACACAAUGCAAAGUGUCCCUACAAUGGUGUGUCAUAUGGGCAAGGAUAUCCAACUCAACAAUAUUUUCAAUUCGCUGCGAAUGAAGAUGCUUGGGAUUAUGAAGGCCAUAGCCAAUCAUGGGACAACAUGUUUUCCAAUGCUUACAAUUCGGAUUGGAGAGAUUAUUCAGAUUACAUAGAACCUCUUCGAAAUGUGCCCUAAAACCAAUCAUAUGAUGAUACUUUACGGACAUUUCACAUGUUAAACUAAUCUAGUUUAAUGUCAAGGGCAAAUAUUAUUGUUUUAAGCCGUCUCAUAUAAAUGUUAUAUGCUUAAACGAUAAGUCCAAGGAAUAUGUAAUUGGGAGAAUGUAAUUUAAACAAGUUAGAUUAAUGAGACCAUUCUCUUUCGUAUACAUAUCCUAAACGUUCCUGAUCAUAGGAUUGCCAAUUGGGCAUUGACAGUCCGUUAAGAUCAGUACGUGAUGUGUCUUCUCUCAUGGAGAGAUACUGGUCUCGAGUCAUUGGUGUGAUUGACACCAAGACAAGCAUGUAGGUCCUUAAUAGAGAAUGAGUCCACUGAACACGAUCAAUGAGCAGUUCUUAUACUCAUGUCACAUGAGAACUCAUGGUUGGGAUAAUGCAAAGUAGUCCUUUGAUCUGAGGCAUCAUAGUUGUCUUGUGGUUUGGUACUUGAUCUUUGACUAUGUCAAAGUCACCUCGUCAGAGGGUGUCCACGACAUAGUUGGGGUUAAGCCACUUAGCCAUGGAGGCAAGUGAAUGCGCAACAAGGGAUCUCUAACCUUCAAACCAUUUGAGGGAGAAUACUCUAUGAU